rnacentral:lncRNA from 1 species
CACAUAUGCGUGCACACACAGGAGAGGGCGGCCUGGGUAUCAGGCGAACCUGACCACAGCGCUCCUGGUUUAAAACCCUUCAGAGGCCUCCCCUUUCCCACCAGAUGUAAUUCAAAUCAUCUGGCAUCCCAUAUAAGGCCCUUUGCAGUCUGGUUUCAGCCCCCAGCUUGGAGCCCCAGGCACUCAGCUCUCCAGCAGGGGGACUCCAGAGAGAAGCCGCCCUUGCCUGCUCACCACAUGAAACCCCCUCCUCCGCCUCCACCCUUUCCUUUGCUAAACUAUCGCUCAGCCAUCGUUCAAGACCCAGUUUGGUGCUGCACUCCCAGAACUGCCUCACUGAAGAUUGGCUGUCGGAUCGAUCCACACAGCAUGGCUUCUGAAGGCUUGUUUCCAGUCUAAGAAUUCUGAGCUGAGGGAUGUUCUUUCUCCCUGACAGCCUCCCCUGAGCCCGGAAGAGGAGAGCUAUACAAAGUACGUUCCUCCGCCUGUCUUCCCAAGCUGCACAGAUGCUCUAUUUGCAGUUCUGUGAAUUGCACUGAGUUGGGACC